AUUAAUGGUAUACACACACACACCUCUUUUUGUCCUUAGAGUGAUAAUGUGUUAACAAAAAGCUUCCAUUUCCUCUAUUGGCGGUUACUUUUGAAUCUUAUCUUAUUUUCAACGGUUUUUUUUCUUCUUCUUUCAAUUUAUCUUCUUCUUCUCCAUUUUCUCUUCUUUAGUUUUUUUUUUCUCUUCCGAUGGUAUUUUAUUCUUAUUGGCUUUUUGCUGAUAAAAAUAAUUUUUUUCAAUUUUAUUUGAAGAGGUGGGAAAAAAGCUUAAUGGAUGGUCAAUCUUUGUUAAUCUCUUUUCUGUUGGAUUUAAUCAUCAAUUUCUCUAUCCCUCAUUCGUUGUUCACUAUCUUCUUGUUAGUUAUCUUAAUUCAAUCUGUGAAAUUUUUUUAAUUUGGUUUGUUUUUUUCUCCAAAGAAAUUAAGAUCCUUUAUGUCAAUCAUUCAACUCUAUUUGUUAUCAAAUCUCGUAGAUUUGUUAGAUUAAGAGAAUUGGCUUUUCUUUGCCUUCUCGAUUUCUCAUUUUAACAAAUUGCAUUACGAUGUUAUGACUUAUGCAUCGUCUAAAAAAACCCCCGAUGAGAAAACACUGUCAAUGAUUUUUGAAGGUGAAAAUGAUGUCGAGAUGAGAAAACCAUUUAGUAGGCCAAUUGAGAUACAAAAUUGGACUAUCUAUCAAUUCUACUGUCAAUCAAAUCAAAUAAACGAUUAACAAUUUAAUCACAAAGAAAAAGCACAAAAAUCAACAAGAGGAACAACAACAAAAA